rnacentral:rRNA from 1 species
AGAAUCAACGCUGGCGGCGUGCCUAACACAUGCAAGUCGCACGAGAAAGGGGAGCAAUCCCUGAGUACAGUGGCGCACGGGUGAGUAACACGUGAAUAAUCUACCUCCGAGUGGGGAAUAACUGAGAGAAAUCUUAGCUAAUACCGCAUAAUACCCACGGGUCAAAGCAGCAAUGCGCUUGGAGAGGAGUUCGCGGCAGAUUAGUUAGUUGGCGGGGUAAUGGCCCACCAAGACGAUGAUCUGUAUCCGGCCUGAGAGGGCGCACGGACACACUGGAACUGAAACACGGUCCAGACUCCUACGGGAGGCAGCAGUGGGGAAUUUUGCGCAAUGGGGGAAACCCUGACGCAGCAACGCCGCGUGGAGGAUGAAGCCCCUUGGGGUGUAAACUCCUUUCGAUCGGGAAGAUAAUGACGGUACCGAUAUAAGAAGCCCGGCUAACUUCGUGCCAGCGAGCCGC